rnacentral:rRNA from 1 species
UUAUUGGAGAGUUUGAUCCUGGCUCAGGAUGAACGCUGGCGGCGUGCCUAAUACAUGCAAGUCGAGCGAAUGGAUUAAGAGCUUGCUCUUAUGAAGUUAGCGGCGGACGGGUGAGUAACACGUGGGUAACCUGCCCAUAAGACUGGGAUAACUCCGGGAAACCGGGGCUAAUACCGGAUAACAUUUUGAACCGCAUGGUUCGAAAUUGAAAGGCGGCUUCGGCUGUCACUUAUGGAUGGACCCGCGUCGCAUUAGCUAGUUGGUGAGGUAACGGCUCACCAAGGCAACGAU